rnacentral:snoRNA from 1 species
GGAGAAGCGAAGUGAUGAGCAUUACUAGCUGGAGCCCCAAAGAGGCACGUGUGUGUGUGUGUGUGUGUGUGUAUCUGUAUCCUUGUCUGUGCAUGCACACGUGUGUCUGGGAGUGUGAAUGUGUGUGACUGGUUGUAGGGAACUAGUUAUGUGCCUUGUGUUGGACCAUGACAGUCAAACUGAUAAGAUCUGAUUGCUUC